AGACGGGACUAGCCGGGCGCGCGGCUGAGUGCUGCAGAAUCGCUGGGGUGGCAGAGCCGCCAGCGAGGCUGGGGAUGGGGGCGCCGCUGCUCUCUCCCGGCUGGGGAGCCGGGGCUGCCGGCCGGCGCUGGUGGAUGCUGCUGGCGCCCCUGCUGCCGGCGCUGCUGCUGGUGCGGCCCGCGGGGGCCCUGGUGGAGGGGCUCUACUGCGGCACGCGGGACUGCUACGAGGUGCUGGGCGUGAGCCGCUCGGCGGGCAAGGCGGAGAUCGCGCGGGCCUACCGCCAGCUGGCCCGGCGCUACCACCCUGACCGCUACCGGCCCCAGCCCGGAGACGAGGGCCCCGGGCGGACGCCGCAGAGCGCCGAGGAGGCUUUCCUGCUGGUGGCAACCGCCUACGAGACACUCAAGUCCUCCUGCAUAUGCCCAAGAGGAUUGGGAGUGGAAUGGACACCAGCAGAAGCACCACAGUUAUUCCUGUAGAGAUUAGAAACAAGGAGCUUAUUGCCCUGCUUGUCAAGGCUCAGGACAGACAGGAGGAAGAAACAAGUAUAAAGGUUUUGGUUUUGGAAAGAAGUUGGAAUCUCCAGACCCUGGGACCUUAAGAUCCACAAAAUUGCUGAAAGAAAAAGUACUACCUUAUUGAAAGGAUGAAGAAACACGAAAAGAUUAUGAUUACAUGCUGGAUCAUCCAGAAGAGUACUACAGCCAUUACUACCACUACUAUAGCAGGCGCUUGGCCCCUAAGGUGGAUGUUAGAGUAGUGAUUUUGGUCAGCGUGUGUGCUAUUUCGGUGUUUCAGUUUUUCAGCUGGUGGAAUAGCUACAAUAAGGCAAUCAGCUACCUAGCCACAGUGCCCAAGUACCGUAUCCAAGCUACAGAGAUUGCCAAGCAGCAGGGACUGCUCAAAAAAGCCAAAGAAAAAGGCAAAAACAAAAAGUCCAAAGAAGAAAUUCGUGACGAGGAGGAGAACAUCAUAAAGAACAUUAUAAAAAGUAAAAUAGAUAUAAAGGGGGGCUAUCAGAAACCCCAAAUCUGUGAUCUUCUCCUGUUUCAAAUUAUCUUAGCUCCUUUUCACCUAUGCUCAUAUAUAGUUUGGUAUUGUCGGUGGAUCUAUAAUUUUAACAUCAAAGGCAAAGAAUAUGGAGAGGAAGAGAGAUUAUACAUUAUACGUAAAUCUAUGAAGAUGUCAAAGUCUCAAUUUGAUAGUCUAGAAGAUCAUCAGAAAGAAACUUUUCUUAAACGAGAGCUCUGGAUCAAGGAGAAUUAUGAGGUCUACAAGCAAGAACAAGAGGAAGAAUUAAAGAAAAAGUUGGCAAAUGACCCCAGAUGGAAGAGAUACAGGAGAUGGAUGAAGAAUGAAGGGCCUGGGCGGUUAACAUUUGUGGAUGACUGAAGAUUGAUGGAAUGCUACUAUGCCAAACCUUAAUUGUGAUAUUAUUUUCAUAACUGAAUUAUUUUAGAAAUGUAUCAAUUGACUGCUGCUCAGCAGUAACUAAAAUUCCUCAAGUAUUUGAUUAAACAGAAUAAUGUCAAAAUUUAAACCUUCCCUUAAAACUUUAUACAUAAGACAUUUAUGAUUGUUCAAUUUUUAUAAUCUAUUUGUGGAUUUUGUUAAAAGAUUUCACAUGAAGAUUUAUUAGUUGCCAUUUAAAAUUUUUAUAUGUUUAGUUAAAAGAUUUGACAUGAAAAUUUAUUAGAUACCAUUUAAAAAUUUUAUGUGUUAUGUGUUUAUUCUUUGAGAAUGUUACCUUACUGUUUGUAAUAGUGCUACAUUUUUCUGCUUUCAUGGCCUCUGUAUUUUCACAAAACACCAAAAACAGCAUUUAAUUAUAUUAUCAUGAGUGUGUUUCUGGACACAAACUUCUGCAGUAGAAUGACCUAACAUGUCGUUUUCAUUGCAGUCAUUAUAGGAUUGAAAUACGUUCAAAAUAACCUCUCUAGGAAAGUCUUCUGCUAGAAUUUCUCCCCUCUAUUCAUUAUAAUAUUCUUUGUUUUUAAAGCCAGUCAAAUAUAAUAGUCUUAAUAAGAUCAGAAACUCUCCAGGAGAGUGAGUCUACCCUCACGUCCUUGUAGGAUGAUCUUGAUUAUAGUCUUAUUAUAGGACUAUAACUGUAUUCUCAACAUUUCUCCAGAAAGGACCUUGUAAAAAGGUCUUUUGUACCACAGUAUUGGUUUUUUCCCCUCUCUCUUCACUUAAAAAAAAAAAUAGCAAGGCAGAAAUAGUGUAUUGAAAAGUUGUUCAUCUAUUAUGAAGUCCUUGAGUGGUGAAAAAUCCGUUGUACAUGAGAACAUUUCUAUGCAUUUAAGCCAGAAACGAGGUACAUGGCUGUGUGCUCUUCUGUCAACCAAUGAAAUGUGUUUUCACAUGUGUGGCAGUGCAAGUAAAUAACACAUUAUUUGACUGAAUCAGGCAUGAUACUGCACCAAAGUGUUGGUACAUAUUCACGGUAGUAAAUCAGUACCCCUGUUAAAGGAUUUAUCCCAUUGCUUCAUAUUAAUAAAAUGGUUACAAUAUA